UUUGAUCCUGGCUCAGGAUGAACGCUGGCGGCGUGCCUAACACAUGCAAGUCGAACGGGGCGCGCAGGCUGAGGCUUUUCGGAGCGGAAGCCGGCGCUGCCCAGUGGCGGACGGGUGAGUAACGCGUGGGCAACCUGCCCUGCACUGGGGGACAACAGCCGGAAACGGCUGCUAAUACCGCAUAUGCCCGCAGCCCCGCAUGGGGCGGCGGGGGAAGCUCCGGCGGUGCAGGAUGGGCCCGCGUCUGAUUAGCUGGUUGGCGGGGCAACGGCCCACCAAGGCGACGAUCAGUAGCCGGCCUGAGAGGGUGGGCGGCCACAUUGGGACUGAGACACGGCCCAGACUCCUACGGGAGGCAGCAGUGGGGGAUAUUGCACAAUGGGGGAACCCUGAUGCAGCGACGCCGCGUGGGCGAUGGAGUGCUUCGGCAUGUAAAGCCCUAUCAGCAGGGAAGAAAAUGACGGUACCUGACUAAGAAGCCCCGGCUAAAUACGUG
rnacentral:rRNA from 1 species